rnacentral:lncRNA from 1 species
CAUCGGUAAUCUUACUUGGAGCUAUAUUUUUAUUCGUCACAUGAUAUGCGUAAAUCUUGGAGCAUCAUGUGCUUUUUAUUUUUUUUAAUAAUGCACCAUGCUGGUAUGAGAUAGUCCUUGAUUGAUUUAUAGAAUGCUCUUUGCACUUCACUUAUAUCUUUUGAGUAUGGAUUUAUAGAAUGCUUCAUGUGCUUCACUUAUAUCAGAAGUUUGGAUUGCCUGUUUCUCUACACAUAGAAAACCGCCAUUUGUAGAAUGCUCAUUUGCGUCACUUAUGUUUGUUACAUUGUGGGCAUAUCUUUUGUAGAAAGAAUUAAACUCUCAUGUUUCACUUAUAUCUAUUUAGAGUCAACAGGAAUUGGUCAUUCACAUGGUUAGUCAUAAAAUCCUACAUAAAAUUUGUAGAUCACUGAAUAUGAUAUGUUUGAUUCCUUGCAAUAGUUUUGCGAUAUAAAUAUGAUGAUAUUAGAGUCAUGCCAGUGAGUAAUUGUGGAUUGGUAAGAAUACUUGUGUUAAAGUUUGUUGUUCCCGUAGCAUGCACGUAUGGUGAACCGUUAUGUAACGAAGUUGGACCAUGAGGUAUUUAUAGAUUGUCUUCCUUAUGAGUGGCGUUCGGGGACGAGCGAUGGUCUUUUCCUACCAAUCUAUCCCCUAGGGGCAUGCGCGUAGUACUUUGUUUCGAUAGCUAAUAGAAUUUUGCAAUAAGUAUGUGAGUUCUUUAUGACUAAUGUUGAGUCCAUGGAUUAUACGCACUCUCACCCUUCCACCAUUACUAGCCUCUUCGGUACCGUGCAUUGCCCUUUCUCACCUCGAGAGUCGGUGCAAACUUCGCCGGUGCAUCCAAAACUCGUGAUAUGAUACGCUCUGUCACACAUAAGCCUCCUUAUAUCUUCCUCAAAAUAGCCACCAUACCUACCUAUCAUGACAUUUCCAUAGCCAUUCUGAGAUAUAUUACCAUGCAACUUCCAUCAUCAUCAUAUACAUGACUUGAGCAUUGAUUGUCAUAUUGCCUUGCAUGAUCGUAAGAUAGUGAUGUCUAUUACGCAACCUUCUUCUUGUAGACCCGUGUUGGGCCUCCAAGCGCAGAGUUUUGUAGGAUAGUAGCAAAUUUCCCUCAAGUGGAUGACCUAAGGUUUAUCAAUCCGUGGGAGGCGUAGGAUGAAGAUGGUCUCUCUCAAACAACCUUGCAACCAAAUAACAAAGAGUCUCUUGUGUCCCCAACACACCCAAUACAAUGGUAUAUUGUAUAGGUGCACUAGUUCGGCGAAGAGAUGGUGAUACAAGUGCAAUAUGGAUGGUAGAUAUAGGUUUUUGUAAUCUGAAAAUAUAAAAACAGCAAGGUAACUAAUAGCAAAAGUGAGCAAAAACGGUAUUGCAAUGUUUCGAAACAAGGCCUAAGGUUCAUACUUUCACUAGUGCAAGUUCUAUAAACAAUGAUAACAUAAUUAGGUAAUAUAAUAAUCCCUCAAUGUGCAACAAAGAGUAACUCCAAAGUCACUAAUAGCGGAGAACAAACGAAGAGAUUAUUGUAGGGUACGAAACCACCUCAAAGUUAUUCUUUCUGAUCGAUCUAUUGGGCUAUUCCUAUAAGUGUCACAAACAGCCCUAGAUUUCGUACUAAAAUAACACCUUAAGACACACAUCAACCAAAACCCUAAUGUCACCUUGAUACUCCAAUGUCACCACAAGUAUCCACGGGUUUGAUUAUACAAUAUGCAUCACACAAUCUCAGAUUCAUCUAUUCAAAUCAUGUGUUCUCAAAUCCUUAAAGACUCAAUCCGACAAGAUAACUUCAAAGGGAAAACUCAACCCAUUACAAGAAGGUAGAGGGGGAGAAACAUCAUAAGAUCCAACUAUAAUAGCAAAGCUCGCGGUACAUCAAGAUCGUGCCAAAUCAAGAACACGAGAGAGAAAGAUCAAACACAUAGCUACUGGUACAUACCCAAAGUCCUGAGGGUGAAUUACUCCCUCCUCGUUAUGGAGAGCGCCGGGAUGAUGAACAUGGCCAUCGGUGAUGAUUCCCCCCUCCCGCAGGGUGCCGGAACAGGGUCCUGAUUGGUUUUUGGUGGCUACAGAGGCUUGCAGCGGCGGAACUCCCGAUUUAGGUUCUAUUCUGGAGGUUUGGAGAUAUAUAAGAGGUAUUGGCGUCGAGAACAAGCCAGGGGAGUCCACGAGGGGCCCACAAGGUUGGGGGCGCGCCCUAGGUGGGGGGCACCCCCACCCUUGUGGUGGCCUCGGGACUCCUCUAGUGCAUCUCCGGUACUUCGUGGGCUUCUUUUGGUCCAUAAAGAAUCGUCGUAAAGUUUCAAGUCAAUUGGACUCCGUUUGAUAUUCCUUUCCUGCGAAACUCAAAAACAAGGAAAAAACAGAAACUGGCAUUGGGCUCUAGGUUAAUAUCUUAGUCCCAAAAAUCAUAUAAAAUAGCAUAUAAAACAUCCAAGAUAGAUAAUAUAAUAGCAUGGAACAAUAAAAAAUUAUAGAUACGUUGGAGACGUAUCAAGCAUCCCCAAGCUUAAUUCUGGUCGUCCUCGAGUAGGUAAAUGAUAAAAAUAGAAUUUUUGAUGUGGAAUGCUACCUAAGAUAUUCAUCCAUGUAAUUUUCUUUAUUGUGGCAUGAAUAUUCAGAUCCAUAAGAUUCAAAAUAAAAGUUUAAUAUUGACAUAAAAACUAUAAUACUUCAAGCAUACUAACAAGGCAAUUAUGUCUCCUCAAAAUAACAUGGCCAAAGAAAGCUUAUCCCUACAAAAUCAUAUAGUCUAGAUAUGCUCCAUCUUCAUCACACAAAAUACUCAAAUCAUGCACAACCCCGAUGACAAGCCAAGCAAUUGUUUCAUAAUUUUGAUGUUCUCAAACCUUUUCAACUUCCACGCAAUACAUGAGCAUGAGCCAUGGACAUAGCACUAUGGGUGGAGUAGGAGGUGGUUGUGGAGAAUACAAAAAGAGGGAGAUAGUCUCACAUCAAAUAGGCGUAUUAAUGGGCUAUGGAUAUGCCCAUCAAUAGAUAUCAACGUGAGUGAGUAGGGAUUGCCAUGCAACGGAUGCACUAGAGCUAUAAGUUUAUGAAAGCUCAAAAAGAAAACUAAGUGGGUGUGCAUCCAACUUGCUUGCUCAUGAAGACCUAGGGCAAUUUGAGGAAGCCCAUCGUUGGAAUAUACAAGUCAAGUUCUACAAUGAAAAAUUCCCACUAGUAUAUGAAAGUGACAACAUAGGAGACUCUCUGUCAUGAAGAUCAUGGUGCUACUUUGAAGCACAAGUGUGGUAAAAGGAUAGAAACAUUGUCCCCUCUCUCUUCUUCUCUCAUUUUGUUUUUGUUUUUUGGGCCUUCCCUUUUUUUAUUUGUCCUUUCCUCUUUUUUUAUUUUUUUGUUUCCUCACAUGGGACAAUGCUCUAAUAAUGAAGGUCAUCACACUUUUAUUUACUUUACAACUCAAGAAUUACAACUCGAUACUUAGAACAAAAUAUGACUCUAUAUGAAUGCCUCCGGAGGUGUAAUGGGAUGUGCAAUGAAUCAAGAGUGACAUGUAUGAAAGAAUUAUGAAUGGUGGCUUUGCCACAAAUACGAUGUCAACUACAUGAUCACGCAAAGCAAUAUGACAAUGAUGAUGCGUGUCAUAAUAAAACGGAACGGUGGAAAGUUGCAUGGCAAUAUAUCUCGGAAUGGCUAUGGAAAUGCCAUAAUAGGUAGGUACGGUGGCUGUUUUGAGGAAGGUAUAUGGCGGGUGUAUGGUACCUGCGAAAGUUAAGCGGUACUAGAGAGGCUAGCAAUGGUGGAAGGGUGAGAGUGUGUAUAAUCCAUGGACUCAACAUUAGUCAUAAAGAACUCACAUAGUUAUUGCAAAAAUCUAUUAGUCAUCGAAACAAAGUACUAUGUGCAUGCUCCUAGGGGGAUAGAUUGGUAGGAAAAGACCAUCGCUCGUCCCCGACCGCCACUCAUAAGGAAGACAAUCAAAAAAUAUCUCAUACUUCAACUUCGUUACAUAACGGUUCACCAUACGUGCAUGCUACGGGACUCACAACCCUUAACACAAGUAUUUCUCAAAUUCAAAAUUACUCACUAGCAUGACUCUAAUAUCACCAUCUUCAUAUCUCAAAACAAUCAUAAGGAAUCAAACUUCUCAUAGUAUUCAAUGCACUUUAUAUGAAAGUUUUUACUAUAUCCCUCUUGAAUGCCUAUCAUAUUAGGACUAAAUUCAUAACCUAAGCAAAUUACCAUGUUGUUUCAAUACUCUCAAAAUAAUAUAAGUGAAGCAUGAAAGUUCAUCAAUUUCUUCAAAAUAAAACUACCGCCGUGCUCUAAAAAGAUAUAAGUGAAGCACUAGAGCAAAUGAAAAACAACUCCAAAAGAUAUAAGUGAAGAUCAAUGAGUAGUCGAACGAUUAUGUAGCUAUGUGAAGACUCUCUAACAUUUAAGAAUUUCAGAUCUUAAGUAAUUUAUUCAAACAGAAAGCAAAACAAAAUAAAACAAAAUGACGCUGCAAGCAAAACACAUAGCAUGUGGUGAAAAAAAUAUAGCUCCAAGUAAGGUUACCGAUGAACGAAGACGAAAGAGGGGAUGCCAUCCAGGGCAUCCCCAAGAUUAGGAUCUUGGUUGUCCUUGAAUAUUACCUUGGGGUGCCUUGGGCAUCCCAAAGCUUAGGCUCUUGCCACUCUUUAUUCCGUAGUCCAUCAAAACUUUACCCAAAACUUGAAAACUUCACAACACAAAACUUAACAGAAAACUCGUAUGCUCCGUUAGUAUAAUAAAACAAAUCAUUCACUUUGGUACUGUCAAGACAUGAUCCAUAAUUUUUCUCACAUGAUGUCUACUGUACCCUAUCAUUUCUACAAUUUAUAUUAAGCAAUAUAAGCCAUAGAAACUAGAAAACAAGCAAACUAUGCAUCGAAAACAGAAUCUGUCAAAAAUAGAACAGUCUGUAAACAUCUGAAUUGAAAUCAUACUUCUGUAACUCCAAAAAUCCUGAGAAAUUAGGAGGUCCUAAGAAAUUUUUUUAUUAAUCGUCUUCAAAAAUAAUCAACUAAAAAGCACUCUUCUUCUGAAAAUGAGAAUAGUUUUCGUGAGCGCAAAAGUUUCUAUUUUUCAGCAAGAUCAAAUCAACUAUUACCGUAAGCUAUCCCAAAUGUCUUACUUGGCACUUUAUUGAAACAAAAGCUAUAAAACAUGAUUACUACAGUAGCUUAAUCAUGUGAUCACACAAAAACAGUAGGGGUAAAUAUUGGGUUGUCUCCCAAAAAGCGCUUUUCUUUAAUGCCAUUCUAGCUAGGCAUGAUGAUUUCAAUGAUGCUCACAUAAAAGAUAAGAAUUGAAACGUAAUGGGAGCAUCAUGAAGCAUAUAACAAGCACAUUUAAG